UAAUACGGGGGGUGCGAGCGUUGUCCGGAAUCACUGGGCGUAAAGGGCGCGUAGGUGGUUUGAUAAGGGUGUGGUGAAAGUCCGGGGCUCAACCCCGGAUCUGCCGUGCCGACUGUCAAACUCGAGGACUGUAGAGGCAGACGGAAUUCCGGGUGUAGCGGUGGAAUGCGUAGAGAUCCGGAGGAAGACCGGUGGCGAAGGCGGUCUGCUGGGCAGUUUCUGACACUGAGGCGCGACAG
rnacentral:rRNA from 1 species